GGAGCUGCCGUGCCCGCACAUCGUGUCUUGCUGAGCGCCCUCACGCUUCAAGGAGAGGCGGGUGCGGAUUGCCCUCGCCCCCUACGCGCCCGCUACAAGAACGGGGGGACGCCUGUCUAUGGGCAUUCUCGUUUACUCCUGAAGAGGUGAGCCAGACCAUGACGGAUCGUUGCUACCGCACGCUCGGUCUCGAUCGCGGCGCCGCGGAGGCGGACAUUAGGCGGGCGUACCGCAGGAAGGCGCUGCUUCUUCACCCAGACCGAAACCCAAACGGCGCGCAGGCCUUCAAAGUGCUCCAGGGCGACUACGAGGAGGCCCUCACAGACGCGAGGCGCCGACGCGCCCGCGGGGGCGGGGAGCCACCGUUUCCCUCGCUGGAGUCGCCGUCAUGGAACCCGGCCGCACCGGCAGCAGGUGCCGCGUAUCGAUUUGCGCGAGCGGCCAGUACCGCAUGUCCGCCCUUCUUCCCCGAACCCUCCCCUGCUCCCCUUUUCACAGAGGAGGAGCUGUUUAGUGAUUCGAUCCCUGGUGGUUGGCGCGACGUCUGUGCGCGACGCGGUGCGCCGGCCCGAGGAGGUGCCAAGGCAAGCGGCAGAAACAACGCCGAGGGUCACACGGAGGAAAUAAACGGUAGUAACAGCUGCGGGAGUCAAGAGGCUGCUGCGGCUGAUGCGCGGUGGCGACGCGCACAUGGGGCCCGUGUGCCCGUUAGUGCAUACGAGUUUAGCGGUCCAGUGCCACAGCCUCCGCCGCCCCCAUCACGGCCGAGCCCGCACGCGUCCUCUUCCUUCCAGUCGUCUUGCACACAGACGCGCGCGUCUGUCGUUGUGACAGGAUCCCGCUUGUCGACGCAGGCGCAGCGGACCCGUUUCCUCUCACGCGAGCGUGCGUGGAAGUCGUCGUCCGCUGAGGACCUGUCGUUAGACGCCAAACAGGAAGCCGGAGGCGCCGACAACGUGGGUAGAUCACGGGGUUGCGAUGGGUACACGGGCCAGAACUGCGAGGCGCUGUGCGGCAGCGACACACGCGAGUCCGCCGAGGAUCGCGCGUAUCGCGAGGCCGUGUUUCUGCACCGCCGCAUGCCGUAACUUUCGGGGAAAUCGAGAGACACGGCUGCUGAACGCACGCUAACGUACUUGCAGCCGGACCGCGCAUUUUUGACUGAGGGGGCGCUUGUAGGCAGCAAUGCCACGUCCCCUGCAAAACGAGGCGUCUACCACCAGCGCAGCGACUUUCACACCAGAAGCAACAUCACCACCGCCACCACCAGCAGCACUAAGGGCGAACGCCUCGAGGCAGCGCUAAACCAAAGGGAGGCGUUAUGUCGGCAGUGCCGAGACACAGAGACAACACUGCAGCACGAAGUCGGUGAUGAACACGCACCAGCCUCUCGCGAUGAGGGGGAUGCGUCAGCUCACCCUGACAAGGGCGAAGGCGGUAGUGGCACUAAUGCGGCGUUGGGGCCGUCAGCGGCAGUUCCGUUGGCGGCGUCUGGGUGCGAUAUAUCACGUUCGGACGACCCCUUCCCGGUGAGGCAGAGCGCUUUUCCGGAGCCGAGCAGCGAUAAUCGGCUCCGGGGCGACUUACCCCAUCGGGAUAGGAUUCUAGAUGAGCGUCGCCCCCUGCAGAGCGAGAAUCUUCCCUGCCGCUACACCCCAAACCCGGCCGAGGUGGCUGAGGUGAGCGACAUGGAGGUUCACUUUCUAGCGUCUGUCGCGGAAGACAUCAAUCAGAAGAUGCAGACAGUCAUGGCUGCACGUCUGAGCAAGGCGCCGUGCAGUUGUUGCGCUUCCACUCCACGAGCGCACCAGCAUGUAUACUUCACCUGCACUCACCCCAGCGUCUGUGAGGACUGCUACGCGUCAGGGGUAUCGGAAUGCCCUCUCUGCGGAGCUGCGCGUGUGGAUCGAUCGAGUCCGCCGCCGCCGACCGCCACCGCCUCAUCUUCGAUAGAGGAGGGUGUAACCGCCGGGCGCUUGUAGUGCGUGCACAGCAACACGUGCUUCAUUGGCGUCUUCGUCCGCGCCAUCGCCAGAGACGACAUAUAAGCCGGCAAGAGUGCACUCUAUGCUAUCUUGUGGGGACGUCGAUGCGUGAUCGGCGGCUGAUUCGUAGAACUCCGUACCCGCGCGUAGCGCUACUACGACCGCUGCUACUGUCACUGGCAGAGGUGCUUGGGCCGCUUCCUCACCCUCCUCUCGUUCUGCCACGACUUGAUCGCCUGCAGGUCGGAACGGGCUCCUCGGCGCGCCGAGAGUGAGGCGACAUCUGCAUCCUCUGCACCUCCCCUUGGUGUGAGACGGCAUAGGCACACGUGUACGAGGUGGGGUGGGUGGGAGCAACAGAUGGAGAUGUGUGUGCUUGUGCGAUGGAAGUCAAGCAACGAUGACGGCUGCCAAUGGAACAGGAGAGCGAUAUGGCUGUCAGCGCUCCUGACCAGCGUGCUGUUCACAGUAGUGUCACAUACAGACCCUACAGCCGCACCCCCGUGCUCCACAGUCAGAAAUCAUUAAACACCUCCUAGAGACGAGACCAAGUGGCGGAUCGAUUGACACGGUCGAUGCACACGCGCACGCGGCCUCCCUCCCCUACCUUUCUUUUUUUUUGUCAUCUGUAUGUCUGUUAUCCCAUGUUUAUACGUGCCACCGUUUCCUUUUCGUCGGCGGCGUGACGUCAUCGUCAUCGUGGCGAGUUUGCGCCUUGCAUGCGCGCGCUCUCUUUCACUGGCUUGGAGGCUCUCCUUGUGGUGCUGUCGUUCGGUGGGGCGCCAUCGAUCUAUCUGCGUUGCAGACCCGUGUGCGGUAGCGUGCUCAUGGAGAGAUCGAACAGCUGUGCACAAGUCGGCGAAGAGGCCGUGCGCGCAUACGUAUGACCAGACGUCGACAAAUUGAGCGCAGGCGCCGAGUGACCAGAAUGCUUUCGCGCGACGUGGCUCAGCGUGCCGUGCGGAACGAACG
rnacentral:misc_RNA from 1 species